rnacentral:lncRNA from 1 species
GGGGAUUAUGCCUUGGCACUAAAACACACCAAACACACACAGGCAUGCUCACUCGCCCACUUUGCAUCCUUCCUAAAUACAGCCAUCGCUCUCUCCAUCUCUUGCGCCUUGUCUCUCAUGGAGGCUAACCUUGAAAUAUGAGUGUUGCAGGGAUUCACCGUGGAUUUCUCAGGAAGUAUGGUGGCUUUAUGUUCAAACAAUGGAAGGAGAGGUACCUCAUAUUGACAGCUGACGGCUGUGUGUUGGUGAGUCGCGAUGCAGUGUCCCCUCCUGACCAGAUGGUGGCAUUGCAGGGGGGCUGUGAGGCCAUCGUGGAGGGCAGGGAGAUCCUGGACCUGCCCAAGCUGCCCUCUGGAGGACGCAGGGACUGCUGCUUUGCUCUGAUCCUGCCUCAGGAGAAGUUCCUGCUGCUACUGGCUGACAACGCAGAAGACUGCAGGUCAGUUGGCAGAGCAAUGUGAGAUAGAGGCUGGGGUGGGAUGGGGAUUACUGGAGUUGGCAGCAUUGUGCAUUGUCAGCGAUUUACUUUCUUUCAUCUCACGUUGAUGAAACUAUGUUCUGAGUACUACUGAAGUAAUAAUGUGUCAUAUUCUCUCCUCAGUCAAUGGGUCAACAUGCUGAGGAAAGUGCGAGAAGUGAGUCUAUGCCUCCUUAAUUUGAAUCUUAAUCCGCCUUCCUCAUUUAAAAAAACUGGGAAUCUUGUCAGUGAUGUGACUGUGAGAGAUAGCAUUGCAAGAUGUAGGGUAUUCUUCCUCAACGGUUUGAUAUCACAGCUAUACACUUUUCUACUCUACAGAGUGUAUCAUCACCAAUGUCCUCCUGUAGACACCAUAAUGCUUCAACACGAUGCAUCACUGACAGAGACCCGCUUCCAGACCCCAUUUCUGACAAAGAUCCCCCAACUCCACCGCUGAGUGAUAUGGAGAUCUUAUCUCCUGGGCCAAGAUACCCUGGGCCAAGAUCUUCUGGGCCAAGAUCUCCUGGGCCGAGAUCUCCUGGGCCAACCUCUCCUGGCUUAAUCUCUGCUGGGCCAAAUUAUCAUGGGCCAACAACAGGUGACAUUCAACAAAAGGAAAAUGGCCAGAAAUCUCCCCACAUGAAGAGGGACAAAGGGACUAGUCAUUCGGUGGGCUGUCUGCGCCAUGGCACCAGCCAUGAUGCCCAGGCAGUGAGGGCUGUGUAUCUGCUGAUGGGAGGGGCCGCUGCUUCCUCUGCCAUGGGUUACCUGGGUGCAUGCUCUCCUGCUAAUCCUGACGUAAGGCCUCCUGACCUGCCGCCCACCACAGACUUCUCUAACCUGGGCUCAGCAGGGGCUUACCACUCUUGCAACCAGACUGUUGUUGACUCUCCUCACUUCCACAGCUUUGACUUUGAGGGGGCAGACUCAGACUUUGAUGCCUUUGACUGUGGGGGAUUUUCAUUCUAGGGGGGAAAUGAUGAUUUACCUACCGUCAAGACUUUCAAUCCUCCUGUUCAUCCUUUAUGAAAUACAAGAGCAAUAAUUGCCUCUUAUUGUUGCCACCCUUUGUAAGUGAUAUGUACUGAUGCAAAACAUUUGAGCUAUUUUAUCUUAUAUUUGAUAUAAUUUAUUUGGUUACAACCUGUCUGCUGUCAUCCUCUGGCUAUGGAGAGAGCGUGGAUUUCUUGAUGCCAUUUUAAAUAACGUAAUGUAAGCAUACCUUGUCUUUAUAACUAUUUGCCCCACACCUAUCUCCUUAACUCUAUCUCCUUAACUGCUCUGCCAUGUGUUAGCUAAGUUCAUUGUCAUUGUUUUGUUUCCUUAUUUAUAUGUUGCUUAAAUAAAUGCCAGGGUUCGAUAGAAAAUGUUUUGUGCUUUCUUGUCUCUUUCAUUUCCAUAGCGAGCAAUACGCAGCCUUGUGUAGCCUAGCACACAUUCAUGCAUCAUCACAUUAGGGGUGAGUGGGGUAAGUGGAGCAAUUUUUUACAUUCAGCGUCACUCUGUCAAGGG